rnacentral:misc_RNA from 1 species
CCGAAUUGUCAACAAGGGUUGUUGCUGGCCCCUGCAUGGGGGCAUGUGCACGCUCUGUUUACACAUCCACUCACACCUGUGCACCCUCUGUAGUUCUAUGGCCUGGGGGCCUUGUCCUCCUGCCGUGGUUCUACGUCUUUACACACACACGUUGAAAUGAAGUCUAAUGGAAUGUAUGUCGCGUUUAACGCAAUGAAAUA